UACGUAGGUGGCAAGCGUUGUCCGGAUUUAUUGGGUUUAAAGGGUGCGUAGGCGGCUUUGCAAGUGGCGGGUGAAAUCCCUCGGCUUAACCGAGGAACUGCCUGUCAAACUGCAUGGCUUGAGACCAGGAGAGGUGAGUGGAAUUCCCAGUGUAGCGGUGAAAUGCGUAGAUAUUGGGAGGAACACCAGUGGCGAAGGCGGCUCACUGGACUGGUACUGACGCUGAGGCGCGAAAGCGUGGGGAGCAAACAGG
rnacentral:rRNA from 1 species